AUUGAACGCUGGCGGCAUACUUUACACAUGCAAGUCGAACGGCAGCACGGGCUUCGGCCUGGUGGCGAGUGGCGAACGGGUGAGUAAUAUAUCGGAACGUACCCAGAAGUGGGGGAUAACGUAGCGAAAGUUACGCUAAUACCGCAUACGAUCUAUGGAUGAAAGCAGGGGACCGCAAGGCCUUGUGCUCCUGGAGCGGCCGAUAUCUGAUUAGCUAGUUGGUGAGGUAAAGGCUCACCAAGGCGACGAUCAGUAGCUGGUCUGAGAGGACGACCAGCCACACUGGAACUGAGACACGGUCCAGACUCCUACGGGAGGCAGCAGUGGGGAAUUUUGGACAAUGGGCGCAAGCCUGAUCCAGCAAUGCCGCGUGAGUGAAGAAGGCCUUCGGGUUGUAAAGCUCUUUUGUCAGGGAAGAAACGGUAGAGGCUAAUAUCCUUUGCUAAUGACGGUACCUGAAGAAUAAGCACCGGCUAACUACGUG
rnacentral:rRNA from 1 species